UACGUAGGGGGCAAGCGUUGUCCGGAAUCAUUGGGCGUAAAGCGCGCGUAGGCGGCCCGGUAAGUCCGUUGUAAAAGUCAAAGGCUCAACCUUUGAAAGCCGAUGGAUACUGCCGGGCUAGAAUCCGGAAGAGGCGAGUGGAAUUCCUGGUGUAGCGGUGGAAUGCGCAGAUAUCAGGAGGAACACCAACAGCGAAGGCAGCUCGCUGGGACGGUAUUGACGCUG
rnacentral:rRNA from 1 species